AUUGAACGCUGGCGGCAGGCUUAACACAUGCAAGUCGAGCGGUAACAGAGAGAAGCUUGCUUCUCUGCUGACGAGCGGCGGACGGGUGAGUAAUGCCUAGGAAUCUGCCUAGUAGUGGGGGAUAACUUGCCGAAAGGUAAGCUAAUACCGCAUACGUCCUACGGGAGCAAGGAGGGGACCUUCGGGCCUUUCGCUAUUAGAUGAGCCUAGGUCGGAUUAGUUAGUUGGUGAGGUAAUGGCUCACCAAGACCGCGAUCCGUAACUGGUCUGAGAGGAUGAUCAGUCACACUGGAACUGAGACACGGUCCAGACUCCUACGGGAGGCAGCAGUGGGGAAUAUUGGGCAAUGGGGGGAACCCUGAUCCAGCCAUGCCGCGUGUGUGAAGAAGGUCUUAGGAUUGUAAAGCACUUUAAGUUGGGAGGAAGAGCAGUUAACUAAUAUUUGACUGUUUUGACGUUACCGACAGAAUAAGCACCGGCUAACUUCGUGCCAGCCGCCGCAGUAA
rnacentral:rRNA from 1 species